AAAAAUAUUAAGGCUUAUUUAACAUAGCUUAAUUUUAUGAUUGUACCGAGGCAAAUUACAAUUAAAAAUAUAAGCAUUGCGCAGGCAAAUACAGACGACUUGGCAAAUUUCAACUUAUAUUUUAUUGCUAUUUGAGAAUAUUAAUUCACAUAGGUGUGGAGGUGUAACAUAUUAUACAUGUAGAAAAAUCUAUAGCUUUAUAAACCUAUUAGUGGCUCAUAUGGAACACCACUAAUAGUCGUAAAUGAACUAAUGAGUCUCGGUCUGUGAACCAUACUACGGUAUUUCGUACCAUACUUAGGUACCUCGUACCAUCACAAAGGUAUGUGUGCUAUUAUUAUAUGUUGCUUUCACUACAAUUAGUGGUGAUCUAUAUGAAUCACUAAUUGGUUUACAAGUCAUAGCUUUUUCUCAGUGUAUUGUUUAAAGAAAAUAUGAAAU